UAGAUAAUAUUGUUUUCCUUUUUCUCUGAGGCUUCUCAGCUUCCCAGGAGAGAAAUCCUGGGCAAAGGGAUUUUUCCAGAAAAUAUGACUGCCACACUGGUGGCAUGUCACCAUCACAGGGAUUCUCCCUGUUUCCCAGUCAGAAAAUGGCUCAUAUGAAAACAACCCAGCGAUGGCAUGAACAAAAGGAAUGAUCAAAACUCUCUAAUUUUGUCUGAGAGCUCUGGAGCCCUCUGGGAAGCAUCACAAAACCCCCAGCACAGAACAGCCACGGACAGCACAGGCACGGAGCAGGGUUGAGCAAGAGCCUUGACCAGAGCAACCAUUACUGAUUUCAAAACAUCCCAGGGCUGCGUGGCCACAACAAUCCAGGGCAAAACUGGAGCAGUCCGAGCGGAGCAGAGCAGGGCAGGCUUGCUGCUCACACGCUGCCGGAGAUGCCUUCAUGCAGAUAUGCAGCAGCUGCAGGGCUUCGUGCAGGGACUUGCCCUUGUGUUGAGCUGGAGUGUGGGCACGGGCUCCCAGAGGGGAAGGAAUGCUGGCUGCAAGGAGCAGGGAGCUUCUGCAUCUGCAGUGAGAAUUCCUGCUGGAUUGGAGCUCCUGAGGGAGAGCUGCCCAGCUCUGGUGCAGCAGCUUGGGCUGGGGAUUGGCUGGAGCUGGCUAUUUCUUUCUAUCUUCAGAAAUGGAAAAUGAGGUGGUUUGUGAGCUCCUGGUGCUGCUGGGUGAGAGCUGUCCUGAGGAUGAGGAUGCUGUGUUUUGCCAGAGCACAAAUUAAGCUGUUGCUUUAACACUUGGCCUUUUUUGAAAUCUCCACUUUCCAGCCAGCCACAGCAGCUCAGAGCUUCAUGGGCCUUUUCCAAACAGCCUGUGCAUCAUAGCAGAGAAAAAUAAACUCAUAUUCACUGUGUGCUGAUCCCUCACAUGCACUGGGAAGAGGCUGAGGAGUCACCAAAGUGGAGCGUGCUGAGAGCUGGCCUCUGUUAGCAGCUGGUCAGAAACAGCAAACCCAGCAAAUCCCUGCCCUUGGAGGGCACAGACACUGCCCAGAGUGGCCAUUUUUUACACCAAAAUGUUGGAUUUUGAUGGUGCAGCAAAACUGCCAAGAAGGAGAUUACGCCACACAAGACACCCAAAGUGUGACAGUUUUUUAAUGUGAUCUUUUCACAUGAUCUCUUUGCCUUGAUCUUCUAAAGCAGAAAUCAGCUGCCUGAGGAACCUGGGCUGCCUCAGAGGUUGAGAUCCAUCCACAGUGCUGGGUUUCUGCUCCUCAUGAAGAAUGGGAAAACCUCCUUGCACUGGAGAAUAACAGGUCCUUUCAUUCUGCCACUGGUGCUGCUGGUUUAACACCCCACCCAAGGAAGGAUAUCACCUGCGGGAAAAAGUGAGCAGGGUUUGAUCCCCAAAAAGUGUUCCAGAAAAGCCUCUGGUGCUCUGGUUCUUGUGGGCCCAUCAUGAUUGGCUUGAACAUUCACAGGAAAUAAUCAGGGCUCACCAGACAGGAUAACAGGACUUUCCUGCUUUUUUGGGAAUGGGAGAAGCUGGACAGGGAGGGAGAGGAACACCCUGCAUCCAGGUGAGGUGAGCUGACAUCAUCUGGAUGCAGUGAGGAAUAGACAGGGGUGUUCAGAGCAUCCCUUGGGCCAAGGCAAUAGGAAAUACUACAUUUUAAAAAAUCUGAUUGCUUGAAUGGUUCAUUUUUCCAUAUUCCUUUUGGCUGCUGAGGGUGGAAUUCCUGUGCUGCCCAGCUCUGCCAGCUCCCAGCAAGGUGCAGCAAUCCUUGCCUGUCUGCAGGUAUCCUAAGGACAAGGCAACCUGAACAGCCUGCAAACUGUGAGCUUUUAGCUAAUUUUUGUUCUCCAAAAAAAAAAAAAAAGUCUGAAUGUUCAAAGUUCUGCAACUGACAUUUCCUCUGUAAUUUUAUCACUUCUUCUUUAGCCAAAAGCUAAUCUUGACCAUGAAAUCUGCUUCUUGUGUAUGAUCUCCUGCCUGUCUGGAGACAGAGCUGUGAUCCUGGAGGCCUUCAGGGACUGGAGAACAUUUCUGGACACCUCCUUAGCGUUGGAUUUUUGUAGGAGGAGGAGGAAGAGAUUUAAAGCUGCCUUACUGUGUUGCCUGGUGGUGUCUGGACUGUGGCUCCUAAAUCCCAGGGAACCCAGAAAUGCAGAUGCCUGAAAUGCUGCCUGAAUCCCCAUUUGAACUGAAGCACCCUGAGUCAUCUUGCCUCUGUUUUGUGGGUUUUUAAUGGAAGAAAAAUCACCUGGACAUCCCAAAUCUGUAUCCCUCUGCAACCCCACCUGCAUGAAAUCACCUGAAAGGGGCUUCAAACCAGGAUGAAUUCUUUCACCUCAGAGUGUCUCCUCUGUGCCUCUGCAGCACUAGUGCCACAGGAAUUUUCACAGAUAAUUUUACAUGGAAAAAUAAAUCUGUUUAAAAAACCACUUGGCCCCUGCAUGUGUUCGCUAGAGUAACCAAAACCAAGUCCUUGAGAGAGCUUUCCCCCCAUUCGUGAUGCAGUUCAGAUUUUGUCCAGCUGAGUCUGAUGGAGAGCUCCAGGAAAAAAUGGCUAUUUAGAGGGAUUAGGAGUUUUCAAGAAACUGGACCAUGGAAGUAAGAAAGUAACUGAAUAUUUACUUAAAUUGCCUACACGGAAAAUCCUCAGCUUCAACUCACAUGACCCAGUGUCCUGACAUCAAGGUUAGUUUACUUAUUUCAUCACGCCUGAGGAGUGAAAGGUAACUAGAAAUAAGGGAACUGACUGCUGCUUUGGGAUUCCUUCCCUCCUGCCCAGGGACUGUCUGCAUCUCUGCUUUAUACUGUGCCCAAAAUCACCUUGGAAGGCGUUUAGAUGAUUUUCCUCUCAUGGCUGUGUGUGUAUCUAUGGAUGUACAUGGAGAAUGAGUGUUUUAAAAAAGACAUUUUACACACUUGAUUGAUACCCUGACUGCAGGGUUUGAGGGCUGCAUGACCCCUCAAAACCAGGGGUGGAAAGGACCCUUUGUAGCUGGUGCCCAUCUCUGUCCACAGAGGAACCUUCCCCAGCCAUCAGCAUUGUGCCCCAGCAGUUGUUUGCAUGGAACA